rnacentral:rRNA from 1 species
GAUGAACGCUAGCGGCAGGCCUAACACAUGCAAGUCGAGGGGUAACUAGAGUGAUAGCAAUAUUACUUUGGCUAGACCGGCGCACGGGUGCGUAACACGUAUGCAACCUACCUUAUACUGGGGAAUAACUUCGAGAAAUCGGCGCUAAUACCCCAUAACACUGCGAAGAGGCAUCUCUUUGCAUUUAAAGCUCCGGCGGUAUAAGAUGGGCAUGCGUCCAAUUAGCUAGUUGGUGAGGUAACGGCUCACCAAGGCUACGAUUGGUAGGGGUUCUGAGAGGAUGAUCCCCCACACUGGUACUGAGACACGGACCAGACUCCUACGGGAGGCAGCAGUGAGGAAUAUUGCGCAAUGGACGAAAGUCUGACGCAGCCAUGCCGCGUGCAGGAUGACGGCCCUAUGGGUUGUAAACUGCUUUUGUGUGGGAAUAAACCCUUCUACGUGUAGAAGGCUGAAGGUACCAUAAGAAUAAGCACCGGCUAACUCCGUGCCAGCAGCCGCGGUAAUACGGAGGGUGCAAGCGUUAUCCGGAUUUAUUGGGUUUAAAGGGUCCGUAGGCGGGCCGAUAAGUCAGUGGUGAAAGCCCAUAGCUCAACUAUGGAACUGCCAUUGAUACUGUCGGUCUUGAGUAUAUGUGAUGUUGGCGGAAUGUGUAGUGUAGCGGUGAAAUGCUUAGAUAUUACACAGAACACCGAUUGCGAAGGCAGCUGACAAAUAUAUAACUGACGCUGAGGGACGAAAGUGUGGGGAUCAAACAGGAUUAGAUACCCUGGUAGUCCACACCGUAAACGAUGAUUACUAGAUUUUGGCCUUAUGGUCAGAGUCCAAGCGAAAGUGUUAAGUAAUCCACCUGGGGAGUACGUCCGCAAGGAUG